UACGGGGGAGACUAGUGUUAUUCGUAAUUAUUGGGCGUAAAGGGUGCGUAGGCGGUUUGACAAGUCUGAUGUGAAAUCUAUGGGCUCAACCCAUAGUCUGCAUCGGAAACUGUCGGGCUGGAGUAUGGGAGAGGUGAGUGGAAUUUCCGGUGUAGCGGUGAAAUGCGUAGAUAUCGGAAGGAACACCUGUGGCGAAAGCGGCUCACUGGACCAUUACUGACGCUGAUGCACGAAAGCUAGGGGAGCAAACAGG
rnacentral:rRNA from 1 species